rnacentral:tRNA from 1 species
AUUCACUUGCUGAAUGGGUAACGCGAUGGCGUUUGGAGCGAAAGGUGCUGGGUUCGAGUCCCACAGUGAAC